UAUGGCCAUAUCACAUUGAAACAUUGGUUCUCAUGUGAUCACUGAAGUUAAGCAACAUUGAGCCUGGUCAGUACCUGGAUGGGUGACCACUUGGGAAUACCAUGUGCUGUAA